CCCCUCAAUACGUCUCCACCAACACGAGAACAAGCAUCCCAGGGGGGCACAGGAGCCAUUGCUAACAGCACGAACUACACAGAGAACCCCUAGAGCCAGGACCAGGACCCGGAAGGUGCUCACUCCACGUUCUAUGAAGAGCCUUCAGCGCUACCGCGGCGAGAACUCCCACCUCCGUCAAAUUGUUGCCUGACUUAAAACGCCCAAGUGACUUAUUGCAUCUCUUGCGCAGCUUCUUUUUGAAGCAGACGGCAUUGGACCACGUCCGGCUGGCGGCACAAUCCAGUGGAGCCUUGGUCAUAGCGCCCCACCCAUCUAGCUCCUAAACCCC
rnacentral:lncRNA from 1 species